CUGAAAACUUCCAAAAUUCCCUUGUAGCAUGUGUGAGAUUGAAAUAGGACACUGCAGAAAGAAUUCACUUCUGGAGGAAAAAAAAAAAAAAAAAAGACAUGUGCAACCAAUUAUGGCACAUCGCAGAUCACGGGUAGACUGUAAAAUGCUUCUUCUGAGCAGCACGCCUGUGUUCUUAAAACUGCUAUGAGCAGCUACGUACCAGUGUUUCUUACGUAAAACCUCCCAACAAAGUCACUCUUUUCCGCAUCUUAACCUAAAUAGUAUUUUUCAGAAUCUAAAGGAAGUUCUUUCUCCCCCGACCUUACGAAAGUUUCAGAGCGGCUGUGUGGUCGCUGUGAAGCCCCGCUCGCUCUCUCGACUGCGUGUUAUUUUCAGCCGCCCUCCGGCAGCGUUUCGCACCCCGCCUGACGGCUGCGCCCCGCUGCGCGCUGCCGCCCCCCCCCCUUCCUUCCCUUUUCCUUCCUUCCCUUUUCCUUCCUUCCUUCCCUUUUCCUUCCUUCCUUCCUUCCUUCCUUCCUUCCUUCCNNNNNNNNNNNNNNNNNNNNNNNNNNCCUUCCUUCCUUCCUUCCUUCCUUCCUUCCUUCCUUCCUUCCUUCCUUCCUUCCUUCCUUCCUUCCUUCCUUCCCUUUUCCUUCCUUCCCUUUUCCUUCCUUCCUUCCUUCCCUCCCUCCCUCCCUCCCGCCGGCGGCGGCGGCCCUGCGGGUUACCAUGGCAAUGUCGCCCCGCAGGAGCUGGUGGAGUCCCGCCCGAUCGGCGCGGGCCGGCUGGGCCGGGUGGAGGCGCUGGGCCCCGCCGCGGAGCGCGGCACGACGGCCGGCGGGCGGCGGCUGCUGGCCGCCGAGAUGCGGGCGCUGCGGUCAGAGUGGCAGCAGUGGGAGGAGAGCGCCGUCCGGAGCCAGGGCAGCCUGCGGGACCUGCUCAGCCAGAUGGCCCUCUCGGAGCGGGAGUUCGCGGCGCGGGCGGCGCGGCUGGAGGAGGCCCUGCGGCGGCUCGGGGAGCUGCUGGCCGCCUGGUCGCAGGGCCUGGCCCCCCGCGACAGCCGCCACACCGACAGCGAGGUCCUGGAGAGCUGGCGCAAGGAGAAAGUAAGGUCACAUCUCUUUUCCUAGCGGCUCCUCGGUUGUAAGUGUUCGGUUACUGUGGGCAGAAAACUUUGGCCAAGCGGGACUACCAGGGAGAAA
rnacentral:lncRNA from 1 species